rnacentral:piRNA from 1 species
UAACAAGGUUGCCUCAAAUUAUUUGG